rnacentral:rRNA from 1 species
GAUGAACGCUGGCGGCGUGCCUAAUACAUGCAAGUCGAACGAAACUUCUUUAUCACCGAGUGCUUGCACUCACCGAUAAAGAGUUGAGUGGCGAACGGGUGAGUAACACGUGGGCAGCCUGCCCAAAAGAGGGGGAUAACACUUGGAAACAGGUGCUAAUACCGCAUAACCAUAGUUACCGCAUGGUAACUAUGUAAAAGGUGGCUAUACUACCGCUUUUGGAUGGGCCCGCGGCGCAUUAGCUAGUUGGUAGGGUAGAGGCUUACCAAGGCAAUGAUGCGUAGCCGAAUUGAGAGGUUGAUCGGCCACAUUGGGACUGAGACACGGCCCAAACUCCUACGGGAGGCAGCAGUAGGGAAUCUUCCACAAUGGGCGAAAGCCUGAUGGAGCAACGCCGCGUGGGUGAAGAAGGUCUUCGGAUCGUAAAACCCUGUUGUUAGAGAAGAAAGUGCGUGAGAGUAACUGUUCACGUUUCGACGGUAUCUAACCAGAAAGCCACGGCUAACUACGUG